rnacentral:rRNA from 1 species
CCUACGGGAGGCAGCAACAAGGGAUCUUGGGCAAUGGGCGAAAGCCUGACCCAGCGACGCCGCGUGGGGGAAGAAGGCCUUCGGGUUGUAAACCCCUUUUGCCGGGGAAGAGGAAGGACGGUACCCGGCGAAGAAGCCUCGGCUAACUACGUGCCAGCAGCCGCGGUAAGACGUAGGAGGCGAGCGUUAUCCGGAUUUACUGGGCGUAAAGAGCGCGCGGGCGGCCGGCCCAGUCGGUGGUGAAAUCUCCUGGCCUAACCGGGGAGGGACUGCCGAUACUGGUCGGCUUGAGGGCAGAAGGGGGGAGCGGAAUUCCCGGUGUAGCGGUGAAAUGCGUUGAUAUCGGGAGGAACACUGGUGGCGAAAGCGGCUCCCUGGGCUGUUCCUGACGCUGAGGCGCGAAAGCGUGGGGAGCGAACCGGAUUAGAUACCCGGGUAGU